rnacentral:rRNA from 1 species
GACGAACGCUGGCGGCGUGCUUAACACAUGCAAGUCGAACGGAAAGGCCCCUUUGGGGGUACUCGAGUGGCGAACGGGUGAGUAACACGUGAGUAACCUGCCCUUGACUUCGGGAUAACUUCAGGAAACUGGGGCUAAUACCGGAUAGGAAUCCUUGCUGCAUGGUGGGGGUUGGAAAGCUUCGGCGGUUUUGGAUGGACUCGCGGCUUAUCAGCUUGUUGGUGGGGUAGUGGCUUACCAAGGCUUUGACGGGUAGCCGGCCUGAGAGGGCGACCGGCCACAUUGGGACUGGGAUACGGCCCAGCCUCCUACGGGGGCAGCAGUGGGGAAUAUUGCACAAUGGGCGGAAGCCUGAUGCAGCAACGCCGCGUGCGGGAUGACGGCCUUCGGGUUGUAAACCGCUUUCAGCAGGGGCGAAGCUUGUGGUGACGGUACCUGCAGAAGAAGCACCGGCUAACUACGUG